AGAGUUUGAUCAUGGCUCAGGACGACGCUGGCGGCGUGCUUAACACAUGCAAGUCGAACGCACCUUCGGGUGAGUGGCGGACGGGUGAGUAACGCGUAGGUAAUCUACUCUUCAGUGGGGGAUACCCAGCCGAAAGGUUGGUUAAUACCGCAUACGCUCCUGUGCAGAGAGGUACAGGAGGAAAGGUUUACUGCUGAGGAAUGAGCCUGCGUCCGAUUAGCUAGUUGGUGGGGUAAAGGCUCACCAAGGCGACGAUCGGUAGCUGGUCUGAGAGGACGAUCAGCCACACUGGAACUGAGACACGGUCCAGACUCCUACGGGAGGCAGCAGUGGGGAAUUUUCCGCAAUGGGCGAAAGCCUGACGGAGCAACGCCGCGUGGGUGAUGAAGUUUUUCGGAACGUAAAACCCUUUCGCCAGGGACGAAGCGAGUGACGGUACCUGGAGAAGAAGCAUCGGCUAACUACGUG
rnacentral:rRNA from 1 species